rnacentral:rRNA from 1 species
GACGAACGCUGGCGGCGUGCUUAACACAUGCAAGUCGAACGGAAAGGCCCUGCUUUUGUGGGGUGCUCGAGUGGCGAACGGGUGAGUAACACGUGAGUAACCUGCCCUUGACUUUGGGAUAACUUCUGGAAACUGGGGCUAAUACCGGAUAGGAGCUCCUGCUGCAUGGUGGGGGUUGGAAAGUUUCGGCGGUUGGGGUUGGAGUCGAGGCUUAUCAGCUUGUUGGUGGGGUAGUGGCUUACCAAGGCUUUGACGGGUAGCCGGCCUGAGAGGGUGACCGGCCACAUUGGGACUGAGGUGGGGGCCAGACUCCUACGGGGGGCAGCAGUGGGGAAUAUAGCACAAUGGGCGGAAGCCUGAUGCAGCAACGCCGCGUGCGGGAUGACGGCCUUCGGGUUGUAAACCGCUUUCGCCUGUGACGAAGCGUGAGUGACGGUAAUGGGUAAAGAAGCACCGGCUAACUACGUG